GCCUACGGCCAUACUUUUUUUUGAAAACACCGGUUCUCGUCCGAUCACCGAAGUUAAGCAACGUCAGGCCUGGUUAGUACUUGGAUGGGAGACCGCUUGGGAAUACCGGGUGCUGUAGACA